rnacentral:misc_RNA from 1 species
AACGCAAAUUGCACUCUCCGGUUUUCCGGGAGAGUAUGCCUGUUUGAGGGUCAGCCUAAAAAAAAUCGACAUUGUUGCUGUUUUAUGGUGACUUUCGUCGGAGAUUUGGGUUAUCUUAAACCUUUAGGUUUAAGCGACUUUAAAUUUUUUUUUUUACGAUUCUAAGAACGUUUCUAAAGAAUUUUUUCUUGUACGUUCAAGGUAUCGAGUAAUCUUAUUAGACGUGACCGUCAUAUCGGAUCGUGUCCAUAAUUUUUUUUCGUUAACUGACCUCAGACAGGUAAGAGUACCCGCUGAACUUAA